ensembl:lncRNA
UUUGCUUUUAAGGCUUUUAAUGUGCUUUAAAUGUAAAUUCUUUCAGUAUAUGUAUGAGGUGUGGGGUUAAACUUUAAAUAUGCUUGUUCUAAAAUAAUGAUAAGGUUCAUAUAUAUGCUAACUAACACUGCUAAGGGACAGUAAAAAAAAAAAAAAAAAAAUUGUUUCACUUUACAAAUAGAUUUACACAUUUCUGGCCAUUUUCCUGUCACAAAUAGAUACAGCUCGGGUAUGAUUUCUGUCUGCCUCAUAAUACAAAAGCAUUGAUGUGCAAAAUCAGCUUCAUCUUUGCUGCAAAAUGCAUUUUAGGCAACACAAUAAUAUUUCAUAUUGAAUCAGCAAUCUCUGUAUAUUCUAUCUGGUUUGGGCAUGAUGGUAAAGUCACAGAUUUUAUUUGAGUUCUCUACAUUCUCUAACCAUUCCACUUUCCUAUUCAACCAACUUUGUGCCCUUUUGAAUCAUUUUAUUUUAUUUUAUUUUUAUACUUAUUUCAAUUUAAUUUAUUUAAAUGCACAUUGCUGUAUAGCACUUUUGCUCUUUUGUUGGAUCGCCACAUGACAUUCAGUGUAAAAAUCUGGCUUAUGAAGUAAAACUGAAUGUGAGCCGCUGCUCUGCAUGUCCAUGUCGUGAGGUUUUAUUUUAAAAAUCACUCUUUGUAAUUCUUUGUAAGCGAUUUCUCGUCUUUUUGAUAGGUGGUUGUAUUUAAUUUAUUGCAUAUUACAUAUUACAUUCUGGCGCAGCACUGCUUCAUUUCUCAAGGCGUUUAACAUGCUGCGACACAUUCAGCUCUUUUACAGUACAGUGUGGCUUUCUGCUGUGCCCUUCCCAGUAGCACAGCGCUCAGUGCUUUCAAUAAUUCACUGUUUACUUAAUCUAAGGUGUUAAAUAGUUAAUUAGAAGGAGGGCUGGGGUCCUCUGUGUCUCCUCUUGGUCUACUGCUCCAAAAGCCUGCUUGGCAGCUCUGAAAACCAUCCGUUCGCCAUCAUGACAUUUUCCACCCCCAGCAUUUGAAGCGAAACUCUUCUGCAGAACUAACAAUGUUGCUGCCUGCCCAGUGACCUGCUUUAUAUCCGAGUCAAAGACACUGGCUUUUCAGAAGCUAAUGCUAAAUCCACACAGACAGACAGAGAGAGCGAUGCAAAAGGAUGUGUGAUACUAAACCGUCUCUUAGGGGAGCAAUGGAAAUGGUAACCGAAACCCAUUGACAAGAUUGUAGAAACUGACGCCGCCUACAUUUCCAUUUUGAAAAGACUGAUCAAUAAAAUGUCACCACCAAUGUAGUUGCAUUUUAUCUGUUUGUUUGUAUCAAAAACUGCCAUUAUAACGACCUGAGCAUCCUCAGAGGAUAAUUCAGUACUCCAAUACCAUAAAAAAAUUUAAUAAAAAAAGUAAAAUAUUAAUAUUAAAUUAUUCUUCAUCCUGAAGGUCAAUUUAAUUUAAUUUAAUUUAAUUUAAUUUAAUUUAAUUUAAUUUAAUUUAAUUUUCUAAAUUGUUUAUACUUUUGUUUUCUUUUGGUUUUAGUUUUGCUUUCUUUUGUUUUGUGUUGUUUUUGUUUUUCUUUUCAUUUUUUUUU